GACGAACGCUGGCGGCGUGCCUAAUACAUGCAAGUCGAGCGAAUCUUGAGGUGCUUGCACCUCUUGGUUAGCGGCGGACGGGUGAGUAACACGUGGGCAACCUGCCUGUAAGACUGGGAUAACUUCGGGAAACCGGAGCUAAAACCGGAUAAUCCUUUUUCUCUCAUGAGGAAAAGCUGAAAGUCGGUUUACGCUGACACUUACAGAUGGGCCCGCGGCGCAUUAGCUAGUUGGUGAGGUAACGGCUCACCAAGGCGACGAUGCGUAGCCGACCUGAGAGGGUGAUCGGCCACACUGGGACUGAGACACGGCCCAGACUCCUACGGGAGGCAGCAGUAGGGAAUCUUCCGCAAUGGACGAAAGUCUGACGGAGCAACGCCGCGUGAGCGAUGAAGGCCUUCGGGUCGUAAAGCUCUGUUGUUAGGGAAGAACAAGUAUCGGAGUAACUGCCGGUACCUUGACGGUACCUAACCAGAAAGCCACGGCUAACUACGUGCCAGCAGCCGCGGUAA
rnacentral:rRNA from 1 species